ACUGAGGACAAUUUAAUCUGGAGGCAAUUGCUGGGAGAUGAAAUUUGAAACCCCCUGAUGUUGAUUUCUGUGAAUAACUGCCCUUUCAGGAGUAUACCUCAGGGUUCAGCACUUCCUCAGCGGAUGUUGAGGCCAACGUUCGGGAAGACGCUGUUCCAACACUUGUACGUCUCUGUGGGGACUGCACGUGUCAGUGCUAAAAGCUUCCAGACCCACGCAGUGAGAUUCUGAACGUUCAAAAGACUUUGGCUCAAAUUUAAUAAUUCAUUGUCUUGUAAAACCAGGAGAGCUCCAGGACCUUCCAGUGUUUAUAUCAUCUUCAGUUCUGCUGCUGGAUGCAUAUCUGGUCUUCAACCCCACUGCCACUCAUUCGCCUGCACUCUGAAGAGUCUUACUUCCUUAGGACCUGCUGUCUCUGCUUCUGGACUGACUGAUUAUGAGUCAAGAGAUGAUGAGCCAGUUAAGGACAUGCUGAGGGAAGGGAUGAAAUUGACAACACUGGGCUGAAGAGAAGGCAACGUAGGAGAAACAACAGAGUGUGGUUUUUGACAUUGGUGGCCCAUUUGAGUUACCCAAAGAGCUAAGAAAAAAAAUACUGCAAUCCAAUUCAGUUAAAUUGAAACCUCUGGGAUGGGGGUUAUGGAGGUGACCCUCCAGGGUGGCCCCCAGUGACCCCAUCCCUUGGGUAUUCAUACCCUUUUAUAAUUCGCUCCCCUUGAAUAUGGGCAGGACUUAGUGUCUUGCUUCUACUUAGUGUCUUGCUUCUAAUGAGUAGAAUCGGUGGAGGUGAAAGUACGUAACUUGGAGAUUAGGUCAUAAAAGCAUGUGGCAUUGCUUUCUGACUCCCUCAGGUCACUUGCUUUGGAAAAGGCCAAACAUCAUGUUGCGAGAAGCCUCAUGGAAGGGACAGAUGGUAAGGAACUCUGGCCAAAGCCAUGUGAGUGAGGUUGGUGGUAUAUACUCUUACUCAAGGCAGGCUUCAGUUGACAGCAGCCUCAGGUUCACCUUGACUGCAGCAUCAUUGAGAAACUCUAAAUCAGAACUACCUGGCUAAGCUGCUUCCAGAUUUUUGGCCCACAGAAACUGUG
ensembl:lncRNA